GGCAUCAUUGCAGUGAUGCUUUGGGAAUUGAAUUGCCCCCACCACAGAAUAGUGGGGUGUACGUGAGGAAUUUAUGGACUUAGAGAAGGGGCAGCUGUUUUGAACAUCAAUGGACAGCUUAAAGAAACAGAAUGACAAGUUAAAAUCCUUGAAUUCUAGGCUCAUAGCACAGACUGAAAUACAUGGAGUUUCUAGGAUCAAGAUAAAAGAAUCUCUUAUCUUUUGUUGCUGCAGGGACUGAGCUGGCAAAAAACAAAAUGUGGUAUUAGAGAUAGUAAAAUUAGACUAUCAGUUGAAUUCAGAGCUUUUCCUCGUCUCUUACGUAAAAAUUAGAGAAUUGGUAGGGAAAGAUAUUUUGGCACCCUGAACACUAACUCCCAUUGAUAGCCCAUUGACACUGAAGAAUACACUAUGAAAAUUCCUUGUACCUCUUCUUAAAGACACCCAUCGCGACUUACCAAGUCACUACUAUGGCAAGAUCAAGACUGGAUCUAGGAGAUCUCGGUUCAAUAUGGAGAUUAUCCAGAGAUUCUACUGUUGGAGCCAGAUGCUAUAACUGAAGAGGGUUAAAACUGUCUCCUUUUGGGACACCGAAACAUAGAAGCCUGCCCGGGAAGAGCAGGGUAGAACUUAUAUUCUCUUUGUUCAGCUUCCCAGAGGAAUAAGAAGGCCAGAGUGAAGCCAGGAUAGGAAGAAACAUGAAGCGAUGAAACAUACUGAACAAUUCCAUGUUUAUGGAAAAAAAUUCUGGUAAUGAACUUACUUCACACCAAAGAGACAAGGAGUAGCAUCAUUACCUCAAGCAAUAUUGCCAGAGAAAAUCUUGACACAGAGAAGACAAGCUCAGUGCUUAAUGUGAAAAUUUAUCUGCACAUACAGAACCAGUCCAUAAUACAGCACUGUUCACCAUGGUGAAGACAUGGAAUCAACCAAGGUGAUUAUCAAAAGGGAAGAGGAAUGGAUUAAAAAAUAUAUGGUAGAUAUAGACCAUGGAAUCCUAUGCUGCCGUAAAAGAGAACAAAAUCAUGUCCUUUGAGGCAACAGCAUGGAUGCAGCUGGAAGCCGUUAUCCUAAGUGAAUUAACAGAGGAACAGUAAACCAAACACCACACGGUCUUACUUAAAAGUGGGAGCUAAACAUUGGGUACUCAUGGACAUAAAGAUGCCUCAAUAGAUUACGAGGACAAACAGGAUUAAAAAACAUGCGUACUAUCCUCACCAUGUGGGACACAGGAUCAUUUUUACCCCAAACCUCAACAUCAUGCAAUAUACCCAUGUAACAAGCCUGUACAUGUACCUCCUGAAUCUACAAAAAAAAUGACUUUUUUUUUAAGAAUUUGCUGCAAUCUUGGAAAAAUUCUUCUUCAAAGUCUUCUAAAAGCAUUUUAACUUUUUAUUUACAUUUGGAAAUUCAAGCCAUCUAAAAUGAAAUCUAGCAUAUGGUCUGACAUAGGUGCCAACAUUAUUUUUAUAUACAUAUCCAGUUAAGGUGGCAUUAUUUAUUGAGAAGAUGAAGCUUCCUCUAUGGCUCUACAGUUUCUCCUUUGUCAUAGAUUAGUUUUCUCCAUUUUUGUGGGUUUGUUUGUAAACCCUGUAUUCUGUUCCACUGGUCUAUUUAUCAAUCCUUGUUUCAAUCCACACUGUUUAUAGUAAAGUGUUAUAAGAUGAUUUUUAGCUAUUAGUAUAAAAUUGCUGAUUUGCAAUUAUUCGAGACUGACUUUAUUAUUUCCUGCUUUGCAUUUCUACAUAUCUUUUAGAAUCAGCUUGUCAUUUCCCAUCCCCUUCAAAAAACACUACCAUUUUUAUUGGGAUUAUGUUGCAUCUAUAUAUACGAGAGAAUUGUCUUCUAAUUCAUAAAUAUAGCAUAUCCCAAUUUAUUUUAUUUGUUCUAAUAUCUCUUAACAAUGGUUUAUUUUCUACUUGAAGUUUCCACAGCCUUCAUUAGAUCCAUGCCAUUAUAAAUGGUAUCAUUAAAAACAAACAAACAAAAAAUUUACUUUCCGUUUGUUGCUAGUAUAUGUAACUACAAUUUAUUUUUAUACUAGCUUCAUGUCCAGUCCAGUGAUCAUCUCAAUUAACUAAUCCCAAUAAUUUGAGGUAUAUAUUUUUUUGAAUUUUCUAUGAAAAAAAAUCAUGUCUGCACAUAAGUUGAUUUUUAUUUCUGCAAUAUAAUUAUUUGGCUUAUUGUACUGGCUAGGCUUUGCCAGAUAAUUAUUAAUGGGUCAUAGGAGAUAUCCUUAUCUCAUUACAGAAGUCAUACAUCUUUCAUUAUUUCAUCAUUAAAUCUGAUAAUUCUUUCCAUUUUUAAAAUAAAUGCCUUGUUUCAGACUAAGAAAACUCUAUUUUAUUUCUAGUUUUCUGUUAUUUAAUAUUACAAAUGGGAUUUGAGAUGAUUAUUAUAAUUCUCUUUUUUGUUAAUUUAGAAAAUUGUAUUAAUUGAUCUAAAAAUUUUAAGCCACCCCUGAAGUCCUGAAAUAAAUUCAUUUUUAAAAUUUAUACAUUGUAUUUUAUUAAUUGAUAAUUUUUCUUGAUAAUAUUUUGUUUAUCAUUGUACUUAGUGAUGAAAUAAUUAUUUUUUAGGAUGUUGGUAUCAAGGUUAUGCUGGACUCAUAAAAAGAAUGUGGCAUAUUCUCAGUUUAUAAAAGUGGCUAUUUAGGACUGGUAUAAUUUAUUAUUUGUUUAAAGGUUUGAGUACAGAGUUUCUUCUGGAUAUGGAGUUUUAUCCAGAUAAUUAUUUUAAUUAGAUUCAAUUCUAAUAGGUUUUUAAAUUCAAUUCUAAUUAGAUUUUUUAUUUCUUCUAUCAGUUUUGAAAAUCUGUUUUUCUAAGAAUUUUAUUUAUUUUUUUCUAUUUAUUGGCAUAAAUUUGUUUAUAAUAUUCUGAUUUUUUUGAUUAUGUAUUCCCACAAUCACCCUGUGAAAUAAACUACCUUAAGAUUUACUGGCUUAAAAC
rnacentral:lncRNA from 1 species